rnacentral:misc_RNA from 1 species
GAAAUGCGAUAAUUAAUGUGAAUUGCAGAAUUCAGUGAAUCAUCGAGUCUUUGAACGCACAUUGCGCCCCCUGGUAUUCCGGGGGGCAUGCCUGUCCGAGCGUCAUUGCUGCCCUCAAGCACGGCUUGUGUGUUGGGCUUCCGUCCCUGGCAACGGGGACGGGCCCAAAAGGCAGUGGCGGCACCAUGUCUGGUCCUCGAGCGUAUGGGGCUUUGUCACCCGCUCCCGUAGGUCCAGCUGGCAGCUAGCCUCGCAACCAAUCUUUUUAACCAGGUUGACCUCGGAUCAGGUAGAGAUACCCGCUGAAGUUAAGC